GGUUUGAUUUUGGGUUGGCCAGAGAUGGUCCCGUAGGUGAUCAGAGCCACGUGUCUACUCGGGUUGUGGGAACUUAUGGAUAUGCUGCUCCAGAGUACCUAGCCACAGGCCAUCUUACUGCCAAGAGUGAUGUAUACAGCUUCGGGGUAGUUCUGUUAGAAAUUCUAUCCGGUAAGAAAGCAAUAGACAAGAAUCGACCGAUGGGGGAACAUAAUCUUGUUGAUUGGGCAAAACCUUAUUUGACCAGUAAACUUAGAGUUUCCCGUGUUCUAGAUGCCCGUCUUGAAGGACAAUAUUCACUCAGUCAUGCCUUAAAGGUUGCUAUCCUGUCUUUUCAAUGCAUAUCGACGGAACCCAAGUCAAGGCCAACAAUGGACGAAGUAGUAACAGCUCUAGAACAGCUUCAGCAGUCCAAGGAUGUAGCAAAAAAUGAUAAGAAAGUCCGGCAGGUAAAUCAGCAUAGUCAAUCAAGUUUUGCGUUCAAAAAGUCCUGCAAAAGCAGCACGGAAGAGACUCCCGCGGAAUCCAAUUACCCAAGACCUUCACUUUCAUUCCUCUCAUAGAAAGAAGAAAGAAAGUUUUUGGUGUGCCAGUUACUAGUGCCACUUUUGUUCAAGAACUUGCUGGCAUAUAACUAAGAACAUGUCUUCAACAAGGAUGUACAGCUUGUCCUCUUUCUGUUCUUUGUGUUUUAGUUUGUUGGAUAAUGUUUGAACAAUAGAUUUAUGUGUGCUCAGUUUAUUAGUUAUGUAAGUUUACCUACUAUUAGAGUUCUAUUUACUACAACUACAUCCCCAUGUAAUUCCACGAGUCUCUUCUGGAAAAGGUAGAGUGUAUGUAGACUUUAUCCUUAUGUUGAGAGG
rnacentral:misc_RNA from 1 species